rnacentral:rRNA from 1 species
CGACGGGUAUCCGGCCUGAGAGGGUGUACGGACACAUUGGGACUGAGAUACGGCCCAGACUCCUACGGGAGGCAGCAGUGGGGAAUAUUGCACAAUGGGCGCAAGCCUGAUGCAGCGACGCCGCGUGGGGGAUGAAGGCCUUCGGGUUGUAAACUCCUUUCGCUAUCGACGAAGCCUUCGGGUGACGGUAGGUAGAUAAGAAGCACCGGCUAACUACGUGCCAGCAGCCGCGGUAAUACAA